rnacentral:rRNA from 1 species
UACGGGAGGCAGCAGUGGGGAAUAUUGCACAAUGGGCGCAAGCCUGAUGCAGCCAUGCCGCGUGUAUGAAGAAGGCCUUCGGGUUGUAAAGUACUUUCAGUCGUGAGGAAGGUGUUAAGGUUAAUAACCUUAGCAAUUGACGUUAGCGACAGAAGAAGCACCGGCUAACUCCGUGCCAGCAGCCGCGGUAAUACGGAGGGUGCGAGCGUUAAUCGGAAUUACUGGGCUAAAGGGCACGCAGGCGGUUAAUUAAGUUGGAUGUGAAAUCCCCGGGCUUAACCUGGGAAUGGCAUUCAAGACUGGUUAGCUAGAGUCUUGUAGAGGGGGUAGAAUUCCAUGUGUAGCGGUGAAAUGCGUAGAGAUGUGGAGGAAUACCGGUGGCGAAGGCGGCCCCUGGGACAAAGACUGACGCUCAUGUGCGAAAGCGUGGGGAGCAAACAGGAUUAGAUACC